UGAAUGGAGCUCAUGGGGCUGACCACCCUCAG
rnacentral:piRNA from 1 species